rnacentral:lncRNA from 1 species
ACUUAGGCUGAUGGCAGCUGCCUCUGCUGGGAAGGAAGCGUUUUUCCCACAACAUAUUAAAUGCGGCACUGGAGGAUGGCUGGCUGGUCCAGGGGCCGGAUCUGGCUCUGUUGCUCACAAUGAUUCUGUUUGGCAAGCGUUUUUAAAAAGCCUUGGUAAGUUCCAGAUGGUGACCACUUGCCUCAUUUAUCCUCCAUUUGAAAAAUUUCAAAAACUAUUCAUUUGUUUGCAUACCAAGGCAGUACAGAAUCUUCUACAGUGGCACUUCGAUGGGGUUCUCAGGUGCAUCUCCGGAAUGUAUUGUCAGAAAGCUCUGGGGGCCCCCUGUUCAAGAAGUCUUGCUGCCAUACUGCCGCACUGAUUAGAUGUUUUCCAAGCUUCAAGAAGCUGCUUCUUGAAAGGAUUGUUUCCCCAAGGCCCAAGAGGAAAUGAUUCUCACGGGGUUGGGGCUGUCCUGUCCAUGACACGCCUGACGCUGUCAGAUCUGAACGAAUUCACAGACAGACGGACUUGUCACCAUGAACUCUGUGUGCGUCAUCACCCAGGGCUCAGGUGCAAGGUUGUCCCCUUCUCGCCUGGCCUCUGUGAUCGUCUUAGAUAGCAAUGUUAACUUGCCCUGUUAGUGGAACGGGAAAGUAAAAUAUUUUCUUAUUUCAA